rnacentral:rRNA from 1 species
GACGAACGCUGGCGGCGUGCUUAACACAUGCAAGUCGAACGGAAAGGCCCUGCUUUUGUGGGGUGCUCGAGUGGCGAACGGGUGAGUAACACGUGAGUAACCUGCCCUUGACUUUGGGAUAACUUCAGGAAACUGGGGCUAAUACCGGAUAGGAGCUCCUGCUGCAUGGUGGGGGUUGGAAAGUUUCGGCGGUUGGGGAUGGACUCGCGGCUUAUCAGCUUGUUGGUGGGGUAGUGGCUUACCAAGGCUUUGACGGGUAGCCGGCCUGAGAGGGUGACCGGCCACAUUGGGAAUGGGAUACGGCCCAGCCUCCUACGGGGGGGAGGAGGGGGGAAUAUUGCACAAUGGGCGGAAGCCUGAUGCAGCAACGCCGGGUGGGGGAUGACGGCCUUCGGGGUGUAAACCGCUUUCCCCUGGGACGAAGGGUGAGGGACGGUAAUGGGUAAAGAAGCACCGGCUAACUACG